rnacentral:rRNA from 1 species
UACGGAGGGGGCUAGCGUUGUUCGGAAUUACUGGGCGUAAAGCGCACGUAGGCGGCUUUGCAAGUUAGAGGUGAAAGCCCGGGGCUCAACUCCGGAAUUGCCUUUAAAACUGCAUCGCUAGAAUUGUGGAGAGGUAAGUGGAAUUCCGAGUGUAGAGGUGAAAUUCGUGGAUAUUCGGAAGAACACCAGUGGCGAAGGCGACUUACUGGACACAUAUUGACGCUGAGGUGCGAAAGCGUGGGGAGCAAACAGG